UCUCCGUUGGUGAACCAGCGGAGGGAUCAUUACCGAAGUUACCUUCAAAACCCACUGUGAACCUUACCUCUUGCCGCGUUGUCUCGGCGGGAGGCGGUGUGCGUCGCGCGCCCUAGCGGGCCGCGCCGCUCCCGUCCCCGCCGGCAGCGCCAAACUCUAAAUGCACAGCGGACUGUACGUUCUGAUUUACAAAAAAACAAGUUAAAACUUUCAACAACGGAUCUCUUGGUUCUG
rnacentral:misc_RNA from 1 species